AUUGAACGCUGGCGGCAGGCCUAACACAUGCAAGUCGAGCGGAGCGGCGGACGGGUGAGUAAUGCCUAGGAAUCUGCCUGGUAGUGGGGGAUAACGUCAGGAAACGGGCGCUAAUACCGCAUACUAUCAGAUGAGCCUAGGUCGGAUUAGCUAGUUGGUGGUGUAAAGGCCUACCAAGGCGACGAUCCGUAAAGGUUCUGAGAGGAUGAUCAGUCAUACUGGAAAUUAGACACGGUCCAGACUCCGACGGGAGGCAGCAGUGGGGAGUAUUGGACAAUGUGCUAAAGCCUGAGCCAGCCAUGCCGCGUGUAUGAUGAAGGUUUUCGGAUGGAAAAGCACUUUAAGUAGGGAGGCGUUACUAACAGAAUAAGCACCGGCUAACUUCGUGCCAGCAGCCGCGGUAAUAC
rnacentral:rRNA from 1 species